AGGUGGGAAAUCCACAUAGAGUGCCAGUUUGAGCUCAAGCAUCUGGUACAAAGGGUCACCCAGCGGAACGGCAGUGAAGAUCUUCCCCAGGGCACUGGCACUGGGCAAGCGCUGACUGAACCCUCCUGGAAGAAGACUUAUGUAUUGGGGUUGAAGAACAUCAUGAUCUGACCUGCGUGGAUGAGGAUGAUUCUCAGUUUGCCCAGAGUCUUCCCAUAGAUGUCAUUCAGCUGCUGCAGUGUGUACAGAGUGGAGCCCCCGUUCCCUUCACACACACAAGAUUCUGAGGAACCCAAGAAGUAGAACCCGGCGACCAGACAAUGCAGCUUAAUUAAAUAAUUUAAAACUUUAUUGAAGGAGGUAGAAAAUAAUUUGUGUCAGAGAGGAAACAUCUCUUCAUU